rnacentral:rRNA from 1 species
GACGAACGCUGGCGGCGUGCCUAAUACAUGCAAGUAGAACGCUGAAGAGAGGAGCUUGCUCUUCUUGGAUGAGUUGCGAACGGGUGAGUAACGCGUAGGUAACCUGCCUUGUAGCGGGGGAUAACUAUUGGAAACGAUAGCUAAUACCGCAUAACAAUGGAUGACACAUGUCAUUUAUUUGAAAGGGGCAAUUGCUCCACUACAAGAUGGACCUGCGUUGUAUUAGCUAGUAGGUGAGGUAAUGGCUCACCUAGGCGACGAUACAUAGCCCACCUGAGAGGGUGAUCGGCCACACUGGGACUGAGACACGGCCCAGACGCCUACGGGAGGCAGCAGUAGGGAAUCUUCGGCAAUGGGGGCAACCCUGACCGAGCAACGCCGCGUGAGUGAAGAAGGUUUUCGGAUCGUAAAGCUCUGUUGUAAGUCAAGAACGGGUGUGAGAGUGGAAAGUUCACACUGUGACGGUAGCUUACCAGAAAGGGACGGCUAACUACGUG